rnacentral:misc_RNA from 1 species
AUUCCCUGCAAUUCUUUGGCCAAAUCUUUACUGGAUUUCUUCGUAGAUCAAGUCUUUCUUCACAAAAUUAUUUGAUUAUGAAUAACAGGAGGAGACAUAAAGGUGAAAUUCAUCAUCAAGAAGUUCAUGGGACGACAAGAUCAAACCAUAGAAAGCCUCCGCAUGGUAGUUGGCAGCCAACUGUGCCAUCAUGGGAGAAAAAAUUCUGCUAUUCAGUUGGUUUGGUUCCAUGGC